rnacentral:rRNA from 1 species
UAAUACGGAGGGUGCAAGCGUUGUCCGGAUUCACUGGGUGUAAAGGGCGUGUAGGCGGGAGAAUGUGUCGGAAGUGUAAUCGUGCGGCUUAACCGUAUCAAUUGCUUCCGAAACUGUUCUUCUUGAGUACGAGAGAGGCAGAUAGAAUUCCAGGUGUAGCGGUGGAAUGCGUAGAUAUCUGGAAGAAUACCCGUGGCGAAGGCGGUCUGCUGGCUCGAUACUGACGCUGAGGCGCGAAAGUGUGGGGAGCAAACAGGAUUAGAUACCCUGGUAGUCCACACCGUAAACGAUGGUCACUAGUCGUCGGGGGAUUCGACCCCUUCGGUGACGAAGCUAACGCAUUAAGUGACCCACCUGGGGAGUACGCUCGCAAGGGUGAAACUUAAAGGAAUUGACGG